GACGAACGCUGGCGGCGUGCUUAACACAUGCAAGUCGAACGGAAAGGCCCUGCUUUUGUGGGGUGCUCGAGUGGCGAACGGGAGAGUAACACGUGAGUAUCCUGCCCUUGACUUUGGGAUAACUUCAGGAAACUGGGGCUAAUACCGGAUAGGAGCUCCUGCUGCAUGGUGGGGGUUGGAAAGUUUCGGCGGUUGGGGAUGGACUCGCGGCUUAUCAGCUUGUUGGUGGGGUAGUUGCUUACCAAGGGUUUGACGGGUAGCCUGCCUGAGAGGGUGAACAGGCACAUUGGGACUGAGAUACGGAGCAGUCUCCUACGGGAGGCAGCAGGGGGGAAUAUUACACAGUGGGCGGAAGCCUGAUGCAGAAACGCCGGGUGCGGGAUGACGGCCUACGGGUUGUGAACCGCUGUCGCCUGUGACGAAGCGUGAGUGACGGUAAUGGGUAAAGAAGCACCGGCUAACUACGUG
rnacentral:rRNA from 1 species